ensembl:piRNA 21ur-12659 ncRNA
UUUUCAGACGAGCAAAAAACA